rnacentral:lncRNA from 1 species
UAGGCUCAAACCAUGCGUACUAAGUCCAUAAUGCACAUAUUAUAUUGGGCCAAAAUGGUAUAUAGAUGAAACUUAGGGCCCAAUCUCAUAUACACAUACCAAACCCAAGAAUAAAAUUAGUGUAAAACAAAUAAUAAAAAUGGAUUCUGGUAAUUAGGACCAAAUCCUUAUGACAAGCAGAAUGGAUCAAUCAAAACGCUUUUGAGAAUCCACACAUAUUUACCCAACUUAAAUCACCAUUCAGCGAACAUGUCCUAUCAACAAUUGAUCACCCUUAACUUCUUCUAAAAAAAACAUGCAGGUUCUAGAAACUAAUGGCAUUGCUUCAAAACACCACAUUAAGCAGUUGAAUCCAAAUCUAUACACGGCUACACGAUUUAUUUCAGAACCCAAAGAACAUAGAACCAUAAUCAAUGUAAAUAAACAAUGCUUGAAUACUUUGAGAUAACAACUCACAAUUCAAAACUGAACCAGGAAAGAAAGAAAGAAUCAGGCAAUGCUUUAAAACAAACAUAGAUUUUAUUGAAGACGACAAAUUGAAUCACAUCAUAACAUAUAACAUAAAUGUAAAACCAAACGGAAAAUGUGUUGCUGCAGAUCGAUCCAAGUUAAACGCAAGGGUCACCGCUCAUCACCAGUUUCUAUUGCCACAACCGUUUGCUUUACAGGGGCUCUAUCAACCGACAAUACAAGAUGCCGACGCUUCGUCCCUGUCACGUUGGCCUUCCUCGGAGUGCAUUCCGCAUCUGUGUUCCACUAUUUCAAUAUGCUAGUUCUAUUUGUCGACGAUGAAGGUCCGCGUUUUGACGGAGACGAGUAAGGAAAUAGAUCGCGAUUGAGAUGGCGGAGAGGGUUGACGAACGGAGAGUGGAGCUGGUGAUUGUUUAUGGAUGAUUCGGCGGUGAUUGUAGAUCUGGCCGAGGGUUAUUAGGAUAAUGAUGAUGGAAGUGGGUUAAGAGGAUUCGUCGGCGAGGCGGAGGGUUAAAGGUUUAGCGGUGGUUGAAGAUUUAUGUGGUGGUCGACUAGAUCAGUGGUGGAUUUGUGAACGGAAGAUGGAGGAUGAUGGAGGGUGAAUGACGGUGGUUCCUGGGGUUCGUCGGCGGAUUGCGCUUUGUUUUUUGUUGUUGGUGAGCGGUGGAAUCGAAGCUUGGAGUGAGUGGAAUGGGGUUUUCCGGCAAGAUCGGUGGUAGUUGAGUUUAGCGAUGGAGGUGUCGUGUGGGUUAACGGCAAUGGAGGUUGUGCAUUUGAAGAUGGGUUGAGAUGGUGGUAAAUGGUGGUGGUUAUGAGAGAGGAAGAAGGAUUUUUAUUUGUUUUAUCUUUUUCAGAGAGAGAGAGAUGAGAUUUGUGAGGAAUUGAAAGAGUGGAGGUAGCGUGAGGGAGUUUGAGAAUUCUGUUGUGAGAUUCUCUUAUUAGAGUGUGAGGAGUUUGUUAGAGGGCGCGUGGGGAGAGUGAAGAAAGAUUUUUAUUAUUAUAUUUUCUUUACUAAAUAAUCUAGAAAGAUCCUUUUAGUGGCAGUUGGGAAUGGAAGAGCUGUCAACUUGCAAGACAAAAAGAAUCCAAUGCUAUCUAUAUACAUUUAUUUGAAAUCUGAAAAUUAUAAAGUAUUUAACAAUUAUAUUAAAAAUAGAAUCAAUUCACCAAAAUAAAUUCAAACUAAUUACGUAAUAAAUUCUAAUUUAUUCCAAUGAUAUCUUGAUUAAGAAAAUAAAAGUCGGGAACAAAUAUUCUCGAAAAAUUAAAUUGGACAAGCUAAAAUGAUCAGCACAAAAUAUAUUUAUUGAAAAAAUACAGCGUUUUCUUCAAAUUUUAAUGAUUCAACCGAUUUGUCUGUAUUCUCAAAUAAAUUCAUUCUGACUGACAUUUUAGGUACUAUUCAUGAUGGAAUGUAUGUCAUGCUAUGCAUAUGAUGCAAAAAUAAAAAUGAAAUCAAUUCUGUGAAAAUUUAAAUAUGCCCGGACAAAAUUGGGGUAUGACAGUCCCUACCCUGCAACAAGUAAAGUCUUGGUUGGGGAAAUGCUUUUCUAUGAAGGACCUAGGUGAAGCAGCCUAUAUUUUAGGAAUUAAAAUCUAUAGAGAUAGAUCACAAAAACUGCUUGGCCUAAGUCAGAGUACAUACAUAGACAAAGUGCUGAGACGCUUUAAUAUGCAUGAUUCCAAGAAAGGAUUCAUACCUAUGCAACAUGGCCUGUGUCUAUCAAAAACACAAUCCCCUUCAACUAAGGAAGAAAGGGAUCGCAUGAAUAAGAUUCCAUAUGCAUCUGCAAUAGGAUCUAUCAUAUAUGCCAUGUUAUGUACUCGACCAGAUGUCUCGUAUGCUUUAAGUGCAACGAGUAGGUACCAAUCUGAUCGUGGUGAUGCCCAUUGGCUAGCUGUCAAGAAUAUCCUUAAUUACUUGAGAAGGACUAAGGACUCAUUCUUGAUAUAUGGAGGUCAGGAAGAGUUAGCUGUAUUUGGAUACACUCAUUCUAGCUUCCAGACAGAUAAGGAUGACUUUAGAUCACAAUCUAGUUAUGUGUUUUGCUUAAACGGUGGCGAUGUGAGCUGGAAAAGUUCAAAGCAAGAUACAGUUGUUGAUUCUACAAUCGAGGCCGAGUAUAUUGUUUCCUCAAGUGAAGCAAAGGAAGUUGUUUGGAUCGAAAAGUUCAUUAGUGAACUUGAAAUAGUUCCUAGCAUUGUGGGUCCCAUUGGUCUCUAUUGUGAUAACAAUGGUGCUACCGCACAAGCUAAGGAGCCUAGAUCUCACCAACGAUCCAAAUACAUACUCAGGCGUUAUCACCUCAUUCGAGAGAUAAUAGAUAGAGGAGAUGUGAAAAUAUGUAGAGUACCUACACUUGACAAUAUUGCUGACCCACUGACAAAGCCUCUUGCGCAGCAGCCAUACUAGAUCAAUGGCAUUAGGGGUAUGCCUGAUUGGCUCUUAGUGCUAGUGGGAGAUUGUUGGUGUAGCCUAGAGGCAAUACUUUUGGUACUUGUAUCGAAUAUUUAUUAAUUAAUAAAAGGCUUUUUCUUUAUUAUGUUUGAUUAAUAAAGUCCCUAGAAUAGCUAGUCCGUUUAAUGUAUCAAGUAUGACUUAAUCAUGAGAUCACAUUAAACAUAAGGACAUUAUUCUAUCCGUAGUCGAGCUUUAUUGUGAAGUGGGAUAACAUUAAAGCAUUAAGACUAUUAUGUUUGUAGAUCGAUGAUCACAUCUCAUGGAUCAUGGAUAAAGAGUUAUCAAGUCUUAAACAUAGGUAUGAAUAUUAAGAGUAAUAUUUAUACCACAUUGACCCGCUAUGAGAAUACUAUAUAGAAAGUUAUGCAAAGUUUCAUAAGUUACUCUCAUGGUGAUAAUGGUGUAUACCACUCUUCAACCUGAAACCACUAUGGAUCCUAGAUGUAGAGUCGAGUGCUUUAUUGCUGAUCCAACGUUGUCCGUAAUUGGAUAACCAUAAAGACAGUUGAUGGGUAUUCCACGAAGCAUGGUGAGGGACAUGAGUGACCUAGAUGGAAUUUGCCCAUCCUACGUAACAGGAUAAAUGUCUACGGGCCCAAUAUUGAACUGGACAAGGAUGACACGGUCUAUACCUUGUGUUCAAUAUAGACAUAAGGGCAAAGGGGUAAUUAUAUACAUAAUUAUUAUCACAGGAGGUUUUGUCAGAUCACAUGACAUUGUAGCAGAGAUGUUGUGGCUAAUACCGCUCCACUUAAGUUUAUUCAUGUUAAAUGCGAUUUAAUAUAAGUGCCACCGUCGCGAAAACCUACAGGGUCAACACAAAGGUACGGUGUACUUAAGUAGAAUACGAAAUAUGGUAAGGUACCAAAUACUUAAGUGAUUUUGGUAUAUUAUGAGAUAUGGGCCAAAAUACACUUAAGUGGGCUUUUAGCUUGAAGCCCACACAAGUGGUUCUAUAAAUAGAACACUUGGGUAGAAGCAUUGAGACUCAGACUAAGACUCAAGUGAAGACUUGGAAUUUCGUUUCUCUCUCUCUCUCUCACUCAAAGCCUUCAUUCAUAGCAGCUAGCACUGAGAUUGAAGGAAUCCGUUCGUGUGGACUGAGUAGAGACGUUGUCAUCGUUCGACGUUCAUGAUCGCUCCGUGGAUUUGUAUCCAAGAUUUUGAUCGUUACAAGAGAUAUGCACCAAAGGUUUGAAUCUCCACAAGAGGUAACGAUUCUAUCACUGAUCAUGCCCAUUCGUAAGGAUCACUAAAUGGAGGAAUUUUUAAAUUCCGCUGCGCCUUGGAUGGCAAUUCUCCUUCAGCUGCAACGGCUCACUUUGUGUCAUCUAUGCCAGCCGGGUUCCCUUGGGGAAUGCCUGCCAACUUUGUACCCGAGGGUUUUGCUCCAACUCUCGCUUCUCUGCCGGCAUCUAGGCCGGUCCUUUCUGUGCCACCUCCCGUUGUGCACACCUUACCUAGAGUGGAAGACACCAUCUAUCAUUCUGAGCCACCUGAGGGCCCAAAUGUUUAUGAAAAGAUGGACGAGAUGAAAGACCAAUUCCUUGAGCUGCGCAAGGAACUGAAGACUCUGAGGGGUAAGGACCUCUUUGGUAAAAGUGUUGAUGAGUUGUGCCUUGUGCCCAAUGUUAGGAUCCCGAUUAAAUUCAAAGUGCCUGACUUUGAGAAAUAUAAGGGAAACACCUGCCCUCUUAGCCAUCUUGUGAUGUAUGCUCGCAAUAUGUCAACGCAAACAGACAACGAUCAACUUCUUAUCCACUUCUUCCAGGACAGUCUGUCUAGUGCUGCUCUCCGAUGGUACAUGGGUCUGGAGAGUGUAAACAUCCUCUCCUUCAACGAUCUUGGCGAGGCCUUUGUCAAACAAUACAAAUACAAUGUGGAUAUGACUCCCGAUAGGGACCAGUUAAGGGCGAUGUCCUAGAAAGAGAAAGAGACUUUCAAAGAGUACGCCCAGAGAUGGCGCGAGUUGGCAGCUCAGAUAGUGCCACCCCUUGAAGAGAAAGAAAUGACAAAGAUCUUUUUGAAGACUUUAAGUUAUUUCUACUAUGAGAGGAUGAUUGCCAGUGCUCCCUCGGACUUCACCGAAAUGGUGAAUAUGGGAAUGAGACUGGAAGAAGGAGUCCGUGAAGGACGUCUAUCCAAGGAUGAAGGCUCUUCAGCAAAGAGAUAUGGGAGCUUUGCGAAGAAGAAGGAGGGAGAGGCACAUGUUGUGUCCUCCCAUAUCAAGAGAAGACCCUCUGUGAAGAGGAAGAAUGUGCGUCUUGCCGUUAGCCAACACCAGGUGGCUCAUAUAGCACCUGCCUUUAGAGAAGUUCAACAUCAUCAAUAAUAAUAACAACAACAAUAUCAACAACAACAUCGUCCACAACAACAGGCCUACCAGCCUCGAAACAACAAUAACACCAGCACCAGCUACGAUAGGAAGAGGGUCACUUUUGAUCCAAUUCCAAUGACUUAUGCUGAACUUUAUCCUUCUCUGAUCGAUAGAAAGUUGAUUACUCCACGAGACCCUCCCGCUAUACCUACCAACCCUCAGUGGUGGUAUAAGCCUGAACUACACUAUGUAUAUCAUUUCGGUGCUCCUGGACAUGAUGUGGAGAAUUGUUAUCCCUUGAAGACCAAGGUGCAAGACCUUGUGAGAAGUGGAUUUUUUUUUCCGAGGACGUAGGUCCUAAUGUGAGGAAGAACCCAUUGCCCGAGACAGGGAAAGCUGCUGUGAAUAUGGUCCAGGGUUGUCCUGGUAAAUAUAAAGUCCUGUAUGUCAAUGAUAUCAGGCAAUCUUCGGUCGAGAUGCAUAAACUGUUGUGUGGAUACAAUCACUAUGAGCAUGACCAUGACAGGUGCCAGGUGUGCACUGUCAAUGAGAGAGGAUGCCAACAAGUUAGAAAGGACAUUCGAGAGAUACUGGAUCAGGGAAUGAUCGAGAUACUUCAAAAUCGCAACGAGGAUGAAGUUGAUGUUAUCUCUCCUGUAUUCAGGAUUCCAGAACCUGUUGUUGUCAAAUAUAAUGGCAGCAAAAAGAAGGUCUCUCCAACUCUUGUGAUUAAACCAGUGGGCCCUGUCCCGUACGUAUGUGACAAAGUUGUUCCCUACAGAUACAAUGUAGUGAUGCUAGAGGAUGGGAAGGAGGUGCAGUUGCCCUCAACCUCUAUUGUGAGCAUCUCAGACGUCAGUGGUGUGACCCGUAGUGGUCGUAUUUUCUCGGCUCCGCUGAAAUCCCAUGAAGACGUUGUGGGGAAAGCUGUGGUUAAUCCUGCCGGUCCCGUGGGGACUUCUUCUUCUGAUAAUAUUAUUGUGAAGGGUAUUGACCCUGUUGUUGAUAGAACUCCUGUCCUGGUUGGCCAGCAUGGCAUUCUGAAAGAGGACUGUGAUGAGAUGCUGAGAAUCAUCAAAAGGAGAGAAUAUAAUGUUGUUGAUCAGCUGCUACAAACUCCAUCAAAGAUAUCUGUGUUAUCUUUGUUGAUGAAUUCUGAGCCACACCGAGAAGCUUUGCAGAGGGUGUUGGACUUGGCAUACGUGGACCACGAUGUCACUAUUGAGCAGUUUGAUAGCAUUGUUGCAAACAUAACUGCUUGUAACAAUUUGAGCUUUUGUGAUGCUGAUCUUCCCGAGGAGGGAAAAGACCACAAUUUGACUCUACACAUUUCAAUGAAUUGCAAAGAUGAUGCCUUGUCUAAUGUGUUGGUAGACACAGGAUCAUCGCUUAAUGUGUUGCCAAAAUCCACUCUGGCUAAUCUUUCUUAUCAGGGGCCUCCUAUGAGGCAGAGUGGAGUGGUUGUUAAAGGUUUUGAUGGAUCGAGGAAAACUGUGAUUGGCGAAGUAGAACUCCCGAUCAAGAUUGGACCUAGUGAUUUCUAGAUCACUUUCCAGGUCAUGGAUAUCCAUCCAUCAUACAACUGUUUGCUUGGUAGAUCAUGGAUUCACGAGGCAGGCGCCGUGACAUCCAUCCUACACCAGAAAUUGAAAUUCGUUAAGAAUAAGAAGUUGGUGGUGAUAGGGGGAGAGAAAUCUCUCUUGGUUAGCCAUUUAUCUUCCUUUUCCUACAUAGAUGCUGAGGAUGAGGUUGGAACUCCGUUCCAAGCCUUGUCUAUUGCUGAGCCUUCAAGGAAAUGACUUUCUUCAUUUGCUUCCUACAAUGAUGCUAAGUUGGCCAUUGAGCAUGGUGUAACUACUGGUUUGGGGCAAAUGAUCAAAUUGGAAGAUAAUAAAUCCCGAGCUGGCAUAGGGUACUCUUCCGGUGUUUCUAAUGAGCGUGGGUUAUUCCAGAGUGGAGGUUUCAUCCACAAUAUUGAAGAUCAAGAGGCUGCUUCCAUCGUUGAAGAUUUAUACAAUGAGCGUGGCACAUAUUUGAUUUAUACAAUGAUAUCCACUCAAAAAUUACAUGUUAAAUGUUUGUUUUUCCAAAUUAUUUUCCCUUUUUUCUUUUUGCAUGAAAUUGGUGAUCACCAUAAAACCCUAAAUAGAGAAUAAAAUCAAUAUUUUCAUCUGCAUAAUGAUUUGCCUUGUUUGAAUUCUGAAAUUUCUUUUAUACUCAAAAUCAUUAUGCAGGUUGAUCAAACCCAUUGAACAUAAUGAUCCAACACCAUCUCCCAACUUUGAGUUCCAUGUAUUUGAGGCAGGAGAAGAUGAUGUUGAAGAGAUUCCUGAUGAGAUUACCCGUCUGCUUAAGCACGAGGAGAAGAUCAUUCAUCCGCAUCUUGAGAAUCUGGAAACAAUCAACUUGGGGUCUGAAGACUGCAUCCGAGAAGUGAAGAUUGGGGCACUCCUUGAAGAGUCUGUGAAGAAGGGGUUAAUUGAGUUGCUACGAGAAUAUGUCGAUGUCUUAGCCUGGUCGUAUGAAGACAUGCCUGGUCUAGAUACUGAUAACGUGCAACAUUUCUUACCAUUGAAGCCUGAGUGUGUACCUGUGAAGCAGAAGCUCAGAAGAACUCAUCCUGAUAUGGCAGUGAAGAUUAAAGAAGAAGUUCAGAAGCAAAUUGAUGCGGGGUUUCUGGUGACUUCUACAUAUCCUUUAUGGGUGGCCAAUAUUGUGCCUGUGCCUAAGAAAGAUGGAAAAGUCUGAAUGUGUGUGGAUUACCGUGACUUGAAUAAAGCUAGUCCGAAAGAUGAUUUUCCUCUACCACAUAUUGAUAUGUUGGUAGAAAAUACAGCUAAAUUCAAUGUCUUCUCAUUUAUGGACAGAUUUUCCGGCUAUAAUCAUAUUAAAAUGGCACCCGAGGAUAUGGAGAAGACAACAUUCAUCACACCUUGGGGAACAUUCUGUUAUCGAGUGGUGCCCUUCGGUUUGAAGAACGCCGGAGCCACGUAUCAACGAGCUAUGACUACCUUAUUUCAUGAUAUGAUGCACAAGGAGAUCGAGGUAUAUGUUGAUGAUAUGAUUGCAAAGUCAAAAACGAAAGUUGAACAUGUUAAGCACUUGUUGAAGCUUUUCCAGCGUUUGAGGAAGUACAAACUCCACUUGAAUCCGAACAAGUGUACAUUUGGAGUCCGUUCCGGCAAGUUAUUAGGCUUUAUUGUCAGCGAAAGAGGUAUUGAAGUUGAUCCUGCCAAGGUCAAAGCAAUACUGGAGAUGCCUGUGCCCAAAACUGAGAAGCAAGUCCGAGGUUUUCUCGGCCGCUUGAAUUAUAUUUCGAGAUUUAUAUCCCACAUGACUGCCACAUGUGUAACACCUCAAAAUUUGCCCUCCUCUUCUUGGGACUAGUUUAGCAUAUUGCAUUUCAUGUUUUAGGACAUUAGGCAUUUGCAUAUUGCAUAUCAUAUGGAAAUAAGAGAUCAUCCUCCAAAAGUCUUUUUCAGAAGAUAGAGAGGUUAAGAGAUUCGAGCCUGAGGGUUUCUAUGGAUUGGUGAUCAACCAUCUGAGGGUUUGCAGUGCAUUAGGGUUUCUUGAUCCUUCAAGGAGAUUGUGCAUUAUCUUGUUUGCAAGGAUAUGUCACCAUCAUCAUGGUUAUGUCAUCCUUAAGGGCUUCAUUGUUCAUGCUCAGGUUCCUCUGGAUUAGGGUUUUGACCUUUGGUCAACCCUAAUCAAUGGCAUUCUCCCAGCUAGGGUUUCUCAAGGAGAUGAGGUUUUCUUUUGAGAUGAAGAUCACAUGAGUAUCAUAUUGAGCUUACAUGAGCUAGGGUUUCAUUUCUAAGACAAUUCCUCAAGUGGUAAAGGUUCAAGCUGAUCAGAGCAUGUCAAGGUCAUCUAAGGACCUAUGCAGUCAACUGUGCAGUCAACUGAGGGCUAUGAGGUGGGGAAAUGAGUUUCAACAUCUCCAUCAUGUUUAAAAGAGGUUCAUUUGUCAUUUCAAACAUCUAUCUUGAAGAAUUUGAAGUCAAGGCAAAAGUUUCCAAAAAUGGAAAGUGACCUGUAAUUGAAAGUUUCCAAAAAUGGCAAGUUUUUGGUUCACAUUCAACUUGACUUUCCAACAUCAAAGAAGCUUCAAAUGAAUUUUUGGGCAACAUUAAAGUUGAAGGUAUUUCUCUCCCAUUUCCAAAAAGUCCUAGAUCAUGAGCAUCUGAUGAAUGGUUGAGAAGUUAUGAUCCAAUGAUUGCAAAGUGUACUUGGAACUUCAAAGUGCCAUAACUUUUGAUCCAAAACUCCAAAUUGAGUCCCUCUCUUUGCAAAAUUCUCCUUGUGACCAAAAUGCUCCAAAUUGAGCUUUGUAUUUCAGGUUCAAGCAUCUAGCUCUAGUGGUUGAUGUGAUCUCAUUACUUGAGAUGCAAAUUACUUUGUCCAUUAACCUUUAUUGUGUUGUAGGACCCUUGGUGAUGAACUCACUUGAGUUGUUUACACAUAGGACUUGUAUUGUGUACAUAUUGGAAGAGAACCACUGUGAUUGUCUAUUUGGUUUGUCUGAAUACAAUAUUGACUUGUUUGACUUUUGUACAGGUACAUUAGUCGCUUCUAGCUUGCUUUUGCUUUGCUUUGGAGUGUGAUUAGUACACCACUGAGGUAGUUUAGCCUUCUAACUCCAUGUAGUCUGGAAGCCCUGUCGCUUUUUUGGCAGGCGUUUGGCUGAAGUCCUCCUUAAGAGGCAAUGACUGUGUUUGUUUACAUUUAUGCUGUUACUUGUGAAGUCCUCCUAAGUGAAGAGGCAAUUGACAGAUAGAAGGGACUAGUAGCCAGUCCCCUGUUAGUCGUUGAGUCGUUCAUUAUGCUCGCACUACGUGCUGACGCUCUUCGAACCUAACCCAAGAUUUUGUAUGAGGUGGUUCAAGUGGAAUAGGGUCCCUCAUUCUGACCCCGCGCUUUCAUUGAUUCAAGCUCACCCAGGCCAGGGUUAAGAGCCAUGAGGUCUAACCCUCAUUACCUUCAUCUGCUCACCUGACGGUCAUGUCAGUGUUUUAAGAGCUUCGGACACCAUAACAGUUUUGGCUUGUUUGUCGAGGUUGAUAUGACCCCUUGACUAAAGCCCAACCAGUUUGUCUGAGCCUCUUGUUUGCAUAUAGAGUGUGAUGAU